AACCCUAAGCUUUUUACUUUGUGUGAGUUGAUCAUGGACAGAUUUCUUCUUAAGGAAAUCACUGGAGAGACAUCAGCAAAUGACAUCAAGUCUGUCUCAUCUCCUGUCAUUCUUAAGGUGUUUUCUUCUUGGUUACUUGCAGUUAACUGGUCUUCCGCAUAGAUCAUCCAUGGGUUAGACCUGGGUCAGCUUUUUAGACUUAGAUAGGAGAAGGGCCUGCAGGAAGAUGAGACAAGGCUACGUUUCCAAAUUCACCACUGGUACCCAUGUGAGUGCAUCUAGAGAGAGAACACCUCACCCAAGAAGUAUGGUACAGACCUGGCCAAUAAUGGACAUCUCCACCUAUGUUCAGGAAAGACUUUUUUCUGGCUUUUUCCUACCAUUUCCAGAUGGUAAAAUAUUUCUAGUGCUGUGACAUAUUUAUUAUGACCCAAUCGUCUUGUCAAAUUCAUUGGUGGAUAAUUCCUAGAAAUCAGGGAAAGUCACCAAGUUGUAUUUACCUUCCCUUGACUGGUGGUAUUUCUAUCUUUGAUUCUUAGUACAGAGAAAGCAUGGAAUGAAGAGAAGUGAGUGUUCCUAUUGCUAGAAUCAUUUCAGAGGUGCACUACUAGGUACUUCGGGGAGUUCAAUUAAAAAAAGUUGAUGGAUCAAUAUGGAAGAAAAGGUAGAAGGUUAUUUGUAGUUAGGUACAUAUUAAGAAAUUGUACUUCCCUGAAUGAUGAGAGGAAUGAUGAUUAAAGGAAGAGGUGGAAUUUCCCGAAAUGGUGAAAUUCAUCUCUCAUCUGCCUUCCCCUUCUUUCCCCAUCCUGGCCCAUAGCACCAAGUCACUAGAAUUUAGGCAGCAUGUGGAAAAAGAAGUCCAUCUCUAAGGCAGAGUUGACUCGUUCAGCUUUCUCCUGUAUGGAGCAGUGGUGAUUCAUGCCUUCCUCCGCUGUCACACUGUCAGCAUCCGCUAAUCAUAGCCCCGUGAUCACAGGACUUGGGCACAUAAACAAUUUCCAGGAGGUUCAGAGCAGCCCAGGGACCUCGCAGGCACAAACACCGGUUAUUCUGUAAUUCAUUACAUGCCCCUCCCCAUCAUCUUGACAUGUGCUUGAAAUAAUAGCUUUCCUUAAAACGUUUGAACAUGUUGGUGGACUAGAUCCUUUCACUGUCCUUGGUACACACAUUGUUGUCUUACUAAGUCUGCUUUUAAAUGGAACUCUUUGGCUGUCCUGCUGAAGCUCAGGGGGCGGGGGGAUGUGUUUCGUGAAGAAUAUCAAGAGGAUACAGUGAUGGGAUUUCAAACACAAAUUGGUUCUUCUUGUGCUUUGCAUGUAUAUGUUGUGAGAGGCGAGAGAGUGAGGCCCUUGAAUGCUAUUGUGAAGCAGACUGCAUAUAUUUGGUGCUUAAAUUUGUAUGUAUUUUUUUACACUAGUAAGUCAGGUCAUUUACCUCCCACUCUUCCUCAAACAGAUGUCUUUAGCAAACUUAAGUUCCUCCAGUCAGUCUGUUUAUUCAGCCUGAGGCAGGAAUCAAUAACUUCUAGUGACACUGACAGGAUUAGUUUCUAUAUUCAAUAAAUAUGUAUUUUUGAUUACCUACUGUGCCAUGCAUAACAAUAGACAUUGGAGAGUUUGCAGUUUCUGUUCCCAUAGGAUCUAGAAUUAAGAAACAUUUAUAUUUGAAACCACGAUUGUCCAGUGCCUACAGUAUCUGUUGGGUUGUUACAAAAAUGGCUGGUAGAUUUUAUAAAGUUUCUUAGUUAUAUUGAACUUCAAACAUAGAAGAAGAAAAUAUUAUCUGGUUCUUAUAUGUCUUAGCUGUGUGUCCUCAGUGAUUAGAAAAUGAGAAAGCUGUGUCUGUGUUGGCUCUUCCAGUGUCAAGUGUUAUCUUUACGAGGGAUUCUUAGCUGUAUAAGUUGUGUUUCAAAAUGAAGGCAAAAUUGCUAUACGUCAUCCCAAUAGACUAUGUAGGGAUUAAUGUUAUUCCUUUUUAUAGUCACAGGCUCAGCAUGUUUAGUUGAUUUAUCCAAAAUCAUUUAACUCUGUUGGUAUGGAGUAUAGGUUGCUAGAGCCUGGGUUUGAUCUCGUGAUAUAUUACUUUUACUUUUUCCUUUAUUCAUUAAUGAGAAUAGCAUCAAGUGUAAAGACAGGGCAAAUGUUUUGAUUUAGGAUCAUUUAUGGAACUUGAUGGAAUUUUAACUGUGCUUCCCAUAUCACGCACAUGAAUCAAACUCUAAUAUAAUACCUAUGAGAAACAUCAGGCAGAAGAAUUUCUGAGGCAUUUAACUGUGGUUUUAGAAGUCAUUAUUUUUCCCUGAUUAUGCCUCCCCCCACCCCAUGUUCUGGGACCCACUCAUAGUUUUAACAAUACCUUCAAAAUCUGUUUGUCCUGAAUAGAUGAUUCACACAUACUCAGAUAUGAAAAUAAGGAAAUGUUGAAAUGUAUUAAUUAUUAGCAAUAUACAAAUUUAAAUAAUAGAAUAAUAGAAAAGAAAAUAUCCAAAAUUAAAACUCAGUAAUUAUUCUAAUGAAAUAUCUCUCUUAUUUUCCUGUUGGUAGUUUAAAUUAGGAUAAAUCCAUAGGAAAAUAGUUUGGCGCCAUCAGGAGCCAGCAAAAUGCUCUUUGACCUCAUAAUCCCCUUUCUGGGAAUCUAUCCUAAGGAGCAAUCCAAACUAUGGAGAAAGCUACACCCCUGAAACAGCAGAAACCGCAUAUGUGCCUAACAACAGGGGCAUAGUCAAUUAAUUCUCUCUCUCUUUUUUUUUUUUGCUGGAUAGAAUGAAUGACCGUUAAAAAGACCAGUGUAGUGACAUGAUACAGUUACUGACAAUGCAAAAUUAAAAUACAUACAAAUUUGUCUUAUAAUUACAAAUAGAAAAGCAGAUGCACAGGGAAAAUAUAAAAAAUAAAAAAGCUAGAGGAAACUUACCCUAAUACCAAGAGAAGUUUAGCUAGGGUCAUGGGACUUCUUGGUGGUUUUUUUCUUUUUCUAUUUUCCAAAAUUUCAGUCAUGUUAUUUAUAUUACUUUUAUUCAAAUUCUUAAUAAAAAUAUGUCUAAUUGAGUUGUUCUCCACAGCUGUGUUGAAGCUGGCCGGUGGGUUUGGAAGUGAGUGGGAGGAAAGGGGUGGAGUUAGAGCCAGCAAGCAGAACCUGCCACAGAGAGGCCUGGCCUGUCCUCUUCACACAGCUGCCCACGGAGAGGGCCAGUUCCUGAGGGAAGUAUGUCUGCCAAAGCUCUGUAAAGACAUUUGUUAGCCGAAACUCUCACAAAGGUGACCUUUAUUCAUCUGCUUCUUCAUCUGAAAUACUGGAAUAAGAGGAUUUGUCCGAGUUCCUGGCAGCCUUGUUGCCAAGGCAAUGGUGGUAAUGCACAUGAACUUGCAUUGCGUGCCCUGUACCCCACUCUCUGUUAGUUGCUCUUGUUGUAAAAUAAUCCCAAUGGUAACAUUUGAAUCUUGGCU
rnacentral:lncRNA from 9 species